UAUCAUAUACGAAAAAUCUCUUUCCUACUCUGCAUCUUAUCUCUAAUUCGGAUCGUAUUCGAAUUAGGAAAGAGAUAAUAUUAUGACUCAUCAGCUAUAGCCGACUACCCUUAUUGGAUCCUCUCUCAUGAUGCCAAAAAUUACAACCCAAAUCUAAUUAGGUGUGAAGAAAUUGGCAUGGAUCUAGAUGUGGCACAAA
rnacentral:lncRNA from 1 species